CUUGCAGCUGAGGCAGCGCGAUUACUCCGCUGCCAAAACUCGUUUAGUUGCAGGUAUUUUCACUGAAACGGAAGAAGAAUCCUGCUAAAUAUAUUCGACCUUCUCCGAGACACGUCACCAAGAACCUUCUGGAAAAUGAAGUGUGGCUCCUCUUAGCAAUGCUCUACUCACCCAGCAGGUCUCCGGAGAAGUUAACAGGCAGGACGAUGCCCACUGACAGCACGCCCACCACCACCAGCAGGCCGAUGAUGUGCCGCUGGAAGGAGAGUGUCAAGAAAGCGUGUGGAUGAAGCUUCUGCAGAUCCUUUCUGCCUGCCCAGAGGAGCAAGGUUACAGUGGAAUGGGGAAGAGAAGUGAAACCUCAAGGCCUGGCAGUGAAAGGCACAAAGAAAUGAGUCAGGAACAUGAGUCAGGAGGCACAACAGGUCUGCGAGGAGAUUUCUGCAG